CCCAUUGAUGCUUUUGUCUACUUGAAGUGUAUUUGGUAAUUGAUGCUAUUUUGUUCGGUAAGAUUCAUCAAAUUUUGCAAUCUGAAUUACUGGGUGAUUGAAUUGACUUGUGACCUUUCGUUUUCGAAAAAAAUUGUCGCUGCAACUAAGGUUUUAGAAUACUCUGAUUAUCUUAAUGGUAUUUGAAAGGGGGUGUUAGAUUUUCUAUGCAGUUAAAUCUUUAAGUUUUUGUUUUUAUUGACAUUGUCUUUGAUAAUUUAUGGGUUUUAUUUGUAUAUUAUAUGAGUUCUUUUUGAAUUACAUGUAGCUGAAAAAGGCAUGAACUCUAGACAGGGCGAAGCUGGCCUCCAUGGGUGGUGAUGACCAAGGGAGAUUGAAGCAUUUAGAGAAUGCUGAGAGUCUGUUGAUACUCAAUUAAAUAAAUAAGGUGACACCACCUCAUUGUCAUCUGAGCUUCACAAACAUUGUGAGUGGAGACCUUAGACUAGACUCAUAAGCCCAAAAGCAAUGUACAGAUUAAAUUUGGAGAUUUUACUACUACAAGAGGUGUCAAUAAAAAGAGAACAUCAUUACCAGAUAGUCUCUGUAAGACACCAUUGGCCUGCCCAGGGAAAUAGAAAAAGAGAAAUACGAAUGGGAUCAAGAAGACAAGAAGCACUUGGAUAUCUUCCACUGGAUUGACAUCUACGUGUAGAAGACUUUUCUGAAUAGCUUGAAGGCAGUUGGUUUCAAUAUUAGUAGG